UGUUGCCUCCAUUCUACGGGUUUGACGAUGACAGGGAGGAGGACCGAGAAGCUGAUCAGUUCUCUAUGCUGAAUGAGCCAUUUGGUCCGUACAGUGCUCCGCCACAAAGCAAAGAAAUUCAGUUACUGGCAGAGAAGGUAAGGGCUCUGGAAAGCCAUGCUACUCCGGGGUUUGUCAACAUGUCCAACAUGGGGCUAGUUGAGGGGAUUGUGAUCCCACAGAAAUUCAAAGCGCCUGCAUUUGACAAAUACAAUGGGAGUUC
rnacentral:lncRNA from 1 species